rnacentral:sRNA from 1 species
AAUUUUACCAUCUUUCACCAUGAACUUUUUCCCCACUCUUCCCUCCCCUUCCCUCUCCUGGCCCCCCAUCCCACACUUGCCAUGGUGACCACAUGUACCUUUUCCCCCUGUUACGUGAGGCAGUUCUGACACUGUCUGCUCCCCCUGUAGUGCCAGGCUUCUGUUGCACAGUUGGAGUGGACUGGAAGUCUCUCACUACUCCGGCGUGCCUCCCCCUCACCACCGACUACUUCCCUGACCGCCAGGGCCUGCAGAAUGACUACACAGAGGGCUGUUAUGAUCUCCUUCCAGAAGCAGACAUCGACAGGAGGGACGAAGAUGGUGUGCAGAUGACAGCCCAGCAGGUGUUUGAAGAGUUUAUUUGCCAGCGUCUCAUGCAGGGCUACCAAAUCAUAGUGCAGCCCAAGGCACAGAAACCCAAUCCUGCCGUCCCGCCCCCGCUGAGCAGUAGCCCACUCUAUAGCCGAGGCCUUGUGUCCCGAAACCGCCCUGAGGAGGAGGACCAGUAUUGGCUGAGUAUGGGCAGAACGUUCCACAAAGUGACGCUGAAGGAUAAGAUGAUCACAGUGACGCGAUACCUUCCCAAGUAUCCUUAUGAAUC